rfam:Streptomyces autolyticus strain CGMCC0516, complete genome.
CUUGACCGAUCCCAGCCACAGUGGCCGGUCAUCGGGCCGGUCCCGGCCGUAGGUGGCGAGCAGCGCAUGGGCUUC